GCAGAACUCAUCAUACACAUUUCUGUGAUACCACAAGCCUCUCAGGCCUUCUGAGCUCUGCUGAGUUGGUGAUUUCCAUAAAACACACCUGGUGCUGUCUUAUUUUAGUGUUCAUGUCUGACCUGUGACCUUAUUCCCUGCUGUCAAUCAACUGCCUGUUUCCCUGCAGCCUGUGUUCUUGUCUCCAACAGAAAUUCCCAGGAUGUGGUUUUCUCCUCUAAGAUUGUAAGCUAUUCCACCAAAAGUGUUGAGUUCUGAAUGCAUCCUUUCUUCAGCUGUGUGCUGAGUGCUUAUUGUUUGCAACAUACUAUUAGGUAUUGGCUGAGUAAAGAUGAAGAUGAAAUAAGCAAUGAUCUGUUAACAUAAAGAAACUCACAGACACCAGGAGGAACAGCCACAUGUGAAGUACAAAGUUGAACAAGGACCCAGAGGAAGCAGGGGAAUGGAGGAUGCUGAGGUCUCAGCAUGGAGAGGACCAGGCAGUCACUGAAGUGGAUACAAAUGGGCCCCACAGAAUCUGCCUUUUGCUGCUGCUGAAAAGCAAGGUUAAUGGAAUUUCUGCAGGAACAUGAGCAUUAAUAUGAUUUCCCCAUUUGUUCCCUCUCUUCUUUACACGUACAUAGCAAAUUAAUUAAACACUUCUGCAGCAUGGCUAAA